rnacentral:rRNA from 1 species
CGGGUGAGUAACGCGUGAGUAACCUGCCUUUCAGAGGGGAUAACGUUCUGAAAAGAACGCUAAUACCGCAUAAGAUUGUAGUUUCGCAUGGAGCAGCAAUCGAAGGAGCAAUCCGCUGAAAGAUGGACUCGCGUCCGAUUAGAUAGUUGGCGGGGUAACGGCCCACCAAGUCGACGAUCGGUAGCCGGACUGAGAGGUUGAUCGGCCACAUUGGGACUGAGACACGGCCCAG